GCUUGUCUCAAAGAUUAAGCCAUGCAUGUCUAAGUGUAAAUAAGUCUAUACUGUGAAACUGCGAAUGGCUCAUUAAAUCAGUUAUCGUUUAUUUGAUGAUCUCUUACUACUUGGAUAACCGUAGUAAUUCUAGAGCUAAUACAUGCACAAAAUCCCGACUUACGAAGGGAUGUAUUUAUUAGAUACAAACCAACAUCGUGGUGAUUCAUAAUAACUUUGCGAAUCGUAUGCCUCACGGCGACGGUUCAUUCAAAUUUCUGCCCUAUCAACUUUCGAUGGUACGGUAUUGGCCUACCAUGGUUUCAACGGGUAACAGGGAAUUAGGGUUCGAUUCUGGAGAGCGAGCCUGAGAGACGGCUAGCACAUCCAAGGAAGGCAGCAGG
rnacentral:rRNA from 1 species